rnacentral:rRNA from 1 species
UACAGAGGGUGCAAGCGUUGUUCGGAAUCAUUGGGCGUAAAGCGCGCGUAGGCGGCUCGUUAAGUCAAAUGUGAAAUCCCUGAGCUCAACUUAGGAAGUGCAUUCGAAACUAGCGAGCUUGAAUCCCGGAGAGGGUGGUGGAAUUCCCAGUGUAGAGGUGAAAUUCGUAGAUAUUGGGAGGAACACCAGUGGCGAAGGCGACCACCUGGACGGAGAUUGACGCUGAGGUGCGAAAGCGUGGGGAGCAAACAGG